GAGUUCAAUCAGGGAAGGUAAUAUCAGGGAAGGAAGAAGCCACGAGAACGAGUUACAUCAUCUAAAAAAUAGGGAGAGGUUAGGUAGUUUAGUCGAAUAAC